rnacentral:lncRNA from 1 species
GUCCCCAAGGCCGGUCGGCUGGGUGGGAGGCCUCGAACGCCGUGCCUGGCCCCGAGACCCUAUCCCCGGUAACGGUCGAGGUGGAGCAGGCCCUUUAAUCAUCCCUCAUCCGAUAUCCUUGUUUCUACAGAAGGGGAAACUGAGGCCCAAGGAAAUUGAGUAUCUCUGCAAAGUCACCAGCUGAGUUCGAACCAGACAGAUCCUGGGACCCCCUACUCUAUCCGCCACCCGGAAGAAUCUCCGUCCUUGUCUUUCCAUUCUGCCCUCCCGGCUUCCCAGUAAGCACACAGCCCCAGGACCACCCUUGACCGUCCUCAACCAAGCGAUGCAUGCCAGGGGCCCCCAUGGCCAACUGUCCCCGGCACUGCCUCUGGCCUCCUCAGUCCUGAUGCUGCUGAUGAGCACCCUGUGGCUGGUGGGGGCCGGCCCCGGCCUGGUCCUGGCCCCGGAGCUGUUGCUGGACCCCUGGCAGGGUGAGGGCCAGCCACGUGGACCUUGGAGGAAGCAGGAGACUUGCUGUAGGGCCUGGGCCCAGUUGGCAGGAGCAGCACAAGGCCCCCAGGGGUCAAACAGGGAUGGGGCCCAGUGUCCCGGGGAAGCAUGGCCUUAGACAGGAGCAUGCCCAGCACAUCCACAGCCAAGAAGGGAGGCAGAGGACUCCCUAGGGUGGGCUGGAACCUAUGGGUAGGAGUGCUUUUCUCAUGGUUUCCCUUUCUGGCAGCUUUUCCUUGAAAUAAGAACUAAGGCCAGGUGGCUGACGCCUGUAAUCCCAGCACUUUGGGAAGCUGAGGCAGGUGGAUCACUUGAGGUCAGGAGUUCGAGACCAGCCUGGCCAACAUGGUUAAACCCUGUCUCUACUAAAAAUACAAAAAUUGGCCGGGCACAGUGGCUCACGCCUGUAAUCCCAGCACUUUGGGAGGCCGAGGCGGG